GACGAACGCUGGCGGCGUGCUUAACACAUGCAAGUCUAAGGAGAACGGGUUCUUCGGAAUCCUAUUAAACUGGCGAACGGGUGAGUAACGCGUAGACAACUUGCCUGAAGAUUUGGGAUAACACCGAGAAAUCGAUGCUAGUACCGAAUAACAUCACGAGGACCUCGGUCUUUGUGAUCAAAGGUGGCUUCGGCUACCGUCUUCAGAUGGGUCUGCGUCUGAUUAGCUAGUUGGUGAGGUAAUGGCUCACCAAGGCGACGAUCAGUAGCUGGUCUGAGAGGAUGAUCAGCCACACUGGGACUGAGAUACGGCCCAG
rnacentral:rRNA from 1 species